AUGUCUCGGCAUGCGCCACUGUAUGGAGCUGGCUUGGAAGCUUUGUCAAUGAAUGAGUUGGAUACAUUAUCACGUAUUCAUGAAGAAGGACUCAGACAGAUCCAUGCCAUCCAACAGCGUAAUGGAAGUCCAGCUGGUAGUCCUGUAGUAAUCCCCCAUAACCUUCCGUCUACUCAUGCGUUGUUUCCUGCUCCUCCAAUAGCUGGUGGAAUGCCCCAACCUCUUGUUCCAAAUGGUGUUGGGAUCCACAUAGUAAUCCCCCAUAACCUUCCGCCUACUCAUGCGUUGUUUCCUGCUCCUCCAAUAGCUGGUGGAAUGCCCCAACCUCUUGUUCCAAAUGGUGUUGGGAUCCACAGCAAUGGCCAUGUAAAUGGUUCUAUGGGGCCCUGGUUCAAUCAUUCUUGAAUCUGGGUCUAGGACGACCCUUGUUUCAAGGUGGCUAGUUGUUUCAUUCUCAGUCCUUGCAGCUAAGUAGGAGAGCAAUGUGUAGGCAGUAGGUAUGGUCAUCUUUUGUUAUUUUCAAGCUCUCUUGGCGUAGGCUGGUACCACUGGGAAAAAUUGGUAGGCGUUGUCCAAUAGCAACCAACAUUUCAAACGACACACUUAUUCAUGGUUUUUACUUUUUCGUCAAAUCAAUUAAAAUGCGUUAGAAAGUUUUGAUUACUGUUUAUCUCGUAUUCGCAGAAAACACUCAAUGAUCGUUCGUGCUUACUAUUUAUUUUCGGGCAGGGGCUAACUAUCAAAAUAAUUGAAAAAUAUCCUGGCAGAUGCCCUGUUAUCUGUAAUUUGCCUGCCUUGUUUGGUGUAUUUUGUUCUUACGGUUUAUUUCUUCUUCCCUUUGCUCCUGUGUCUUGAAUUUUGGGAAUAUGGUCUGAUCACGGCUGCAUUUUCCUUUCUUCGCAUGUCUCAACAUUCCAGAUCGUAUAAAUUGGGUUGAUCAGUUCCCUCAAAUAGCACUCGACACCUUCAGAGUUGGAAACUCUCUAGUGUCAUCCUCAAUGUUUGUNNNNNNNNNNNNNNNNGGGAAGGGGGAGCGUGGGGCUCAAAGUGAAAGGGAUAUUGUCGACAGUUACAGUCAGUAUAGGAGAUCAUUUGUCAUUGGACCAAAAUAUUAGGAAAUUAACAACUUCAUACUUAAAAUACAGUCGGUGCAAACACACGGCCACACAUUUUUUGGCGAGCAAGAAUAACAUUAACCAGAACCAGACACUAAAAUGAUGACGAUACUGGUGACUCCGAUGACUGUAACAGAACUCAAUUCAACUUUUCACCGGUGUUGAUAGCGGGAUUGUUAAUAUCUUUUCUUUUUAGCUUUGAAAUUGUUACACAAAUGGUUGGUGUUUACCUUUUUUAUUCGGUGUGCAUAAAUUACGCGCGCACACAUAUAUACACAUACAUACUUGUCUCUCUACACGAGUGUUGCACGUGAAUUUCAUAUUAUUUUUAGAAUGUGUAUAGUAAAAAUUACUCAAUAUAUAUAUAUUUGAAAAUAUUUAAUUUAAUUUAUUUAAUUAUAAAUUUAAAUGUAGCAAAAGUUAGCAUUCUCGUGUAAUCUUAAGAUCUUUUGUAAAUAAAUUAAGUCAAACAAACAUAUUCUUUGACCAACUCUAUUUAUGUUCUUCUAGUCAUUUAUGAUAUUUUUCAUAUCCUUCCUCCGUACUAAUGCCACCCCUGCAAGACUGAUUUGGGUUCCAGAGUUGUUAUAAGGGCGGGACGGCGAGAGGAGGAAGCUACUACUACCGGGCGAGAUGUUAGUGGAAAAGAAUAGGGUUCAGAGGAGAGGUCACAAGCUACCACUACUACGUAAUCUACUUCUACUGCUACUUGAAAUCGAUUCUCUUUCAUGACUCUCUUUCUCAUUCUCUUUCCACCACUAGUUAGAAAUAGACAAGAGCAUUCCCUGGAACAGGCCUACGAGAGGUAUUCAACAAGCGCCACUCAACUGCGCAAACUAAGCCCUCCAUAGAAGUUCAAGGAAGUAAAGCUACAUACUACUGGAAAGAGAUGGGCUUUCUCCUUUCUAUUUCUUGCGGGCUAUUGAUUUCGGGUUGAGACUUUGCUUGCUUACUUUCACACUUCCUUCAGUGAGCUACUUAAGGUUUAAGGUAAGGGGCACUCCUAGCAUAGAUUACCAUUCUAACCGCAACAGAUGAGGGGGAAAAGAAAAGACUAGCCAAAGAAAACGAAGCUUUGCGAGCCCAAAUUCAGAAAAUGAAAAUAGUCGCAGAGAAUCCUACCAGAAGUGCGAAGGAUGAAAAGCUCAUAGACAAUCUGAGACGGAAAGUAGGAGAAUAUGGUUUUGACUUGAACAAAGUAGAGGGUGAGCUGUCUAGGGUCCGAAAACAAUUGGCCAAAAUGCAGAAGAAUGGGCACGCAUGAUUAAACAAUUGAGAGAAAGGUGUGACAAUGAGGUUGCAGGGUUGACGAAGAGGGUCAUCAUGGUCGAAAACAAAAUGGUUAAGCAAGCGAAGGACUUCAAGGCGGAAAGAGAGCAUUGUUACAUAGCAAUAGCACGGCUGGAGAGAGAUUUGCAACAAUUUCAAGAACUAAGUCGUAUAGUCGAAGAAACUUUGGAGGCCAGGGCCUAGCAAAUUGGGCGAUUGUUGCAGGAAAAGGGUGCUAUAAGAGAGAGGGUACGGAUGAUCGUUGAUUACAUCACCGUAAAGUGUAGCCACUGUGAAGCUAUGACAAGAUCUAUGUUCUUUUCCACCGCAAUGACCUUUGUUCGUCAAGUGAUGGAAGACCUCCACCACCUUCAAGGGGAUUUAGCACGCAGGCCUGCGACGAGACCGAAUGAUAUCCCGCAGGCCCCAGAAGCAUUACAUGAUUUAAUAUAUUCUUAAUUUUCAAGUCUGUUAGUCCAUAGUGAAGUCUGUAUUUUCUUUUAUUCGAGUCUGUAGUAGGUUUGUCAAGUCAGUUAUUUUCACCUUUACGUUCGAAUCUGUUGGUUUCGUUUGAGGCAGAGUCUGUUGAUUUCUUUUACUAAAGUCUGUUAGUAGUUGUAAUCAAGUGCUUUACUUUAUGAAAAUUGAAAAAUUUCCAACAUAUUUUCUAUAUUUAUUCGCCAGAACUGUGCUCGGUCUGAUUCAUGGGGGUCAUGAUACGUAGGCAAUCUCCAUAGGAUUUGACCAUGACUGAAAUAUAGCAAGGAAAGAAAAAGAGAGAGAUAAAAUCAUGAGAGAAGCAACAGUAAAAUAACGGAUAGAAUAAUGAAACAAAAGAAGGUAGGCAAAAUAAGUUGAGCAAAAGAAAAAGGGAAGAAGAAAAGGAAACAAAGAGAGAAAAGAAAAGCGGUAUAGGAUAAAAGCCGGGAUAAUGCAAGCAGCCAAUCCAUAUGCAUAUUAGAAACGGGUAACUGCUUAGGUGCAUUCAUCCCCGAAUAUGUGGCAACCUAUGUGUUGAAGCCUAACCACUAACAAGUUUUGGUGUUCCUUUGCCAUCUCAGACAGGUGGUUAGUUUUGCGGCAUUCUGGCAACCCACUCCUAUAACACUCGGUCCAAAAGCAAGCUGACUAUGGCAAACCAAGAUACAGACACAAGUAUCAUUGAUCCCUCAAAAGAGGUAGAAGAGUUGGAUGUUAACAUAAUGAAAGAAGAGAUGUACAAACUGAAGCAUCAGAUGGCUGAAAUGUAUCAAGCAUGGGUGAGAGGGCAGCCACCACCAGCUUAUCCUGCUAACCCGACCUUCAUCCCACCAUUAUCCCAGUCACAUCAGCACCCUACCACUGAUACACCCCCAAGCUUCCCCAUCUACCAACAAUACCAUGGUACAACUUCCCAGGCAUCACAAGCUUCACCACCCAAAGCUGUUCCAUACCCCCUCUACUAGUUGCUCCCAUCUAUGUGGCACCUCCUCCCGCCGCACUCCACAGAUCAUCCAGUGAACUUUUGUUCCAAGCUCAUGAUAACCAGUAUUACCUACCAGAACCCCCUUUCAAGGCCAAUGAACCCUACUCUUAUGCUCCUCGUUUUGAAAUCCUGGUUAAGGCUGAAAAACCAAUCAAACAUCCCGUGCAAGAGGAGGUUCUCAGGAAAGUCAAAAGUCUAGAGCAAUCAUUCAGAGAUGCGGGGGUUAGCAUGCCAAGUGAGUGUGGCAUACAAAGAUCUUUGUUUGUUCCCAGAUGUACAAUUGCCUCCAGGCUUUAAGAUGCCCAAGUUUGACUAUUACUACGGGUAUGGUGAUCUGGUGGCACACCUAAGGGGUUUCUACACAAAAACGAGAGGGGCAUGUGGAAAGGAUGAAUUACUGAUGGCAUACUUCAGUCAAAGUUUGAGUGGUUCAGUGUUGGAAUGGUACACUUGGUAGGAUCAUGCUCAGUGGUAUACAUGGGACGAUCUAGCGCAAGCAUUCUCCUGUCAUUUUCAGUACAAUCUUGAAAUUAUUCCGGAUCGUCUGUCUUUGACAAAACUGGAAAAAAGCACAAUGAGAGUUACAGAGAUUAUCGCUUCUGUUGGAGGGAGCAGGAAGCAAUGGUCGACCCACCAAUGAAGGAAAUUGAAAUGGUAGAUUACUUCUUACAAGCAUUGGAGCCUACAUAUUUUGUUCACCUAGUAUCGGCAGUGGGUAAAUCCUUUAACGAGGUAGUAAAGAUAGGGAGCAUGGUAGAGGAAGGACUCAAAUACAAUAAGAUUAUGAGUUAUUUAGCAGUCAAAGCAACCACACAGGCUAUCCAAAGUGGGACCGGGGGAGCAAUUGGAAAGAAGAAGAAUGAGGAAGUAGCAACCAUUGAAUCAGGGACUUGGUUCGGGCCUCUGGGUCCAUGCUAUUACAACAAACCCCGACCUCACCAGCAAAUCUACCCUCACACUCCAUAUAGCCCACCACAACACUGCUACCCACCUCUUGAUCCCUGUUUCUUGGUCCAUCAUGCACAAACAUAUACUCAACCUCCAGCCUAUGCACAAUGGUGUGCUCCAACCCCACAAAAUAAUUAUCCAGCUUCACAAAAUAACUAUCCUCCAAGAGCCUACCAAUAACCCCCAAGACCAGCUUUCCGGGCAAACCAAGUUUUAAAAACUGAGAGAAUGCAGGAGAAUAAAACCUUCACUCCUUUGGGAGAAUCAUAUACCACCUUAUUCCACAGAUUGAGACAGUUAGAUAUGUUUAGGCCGAUUGAAGCAAAAUUGACAAAUCCCCCUCCAAGAAAUUUAGACUAUUCUGUCAGUUGUGAGUAUUGUUCUGGCACCCCGGGCCAUCACACAGAGAAAUGUUGGCAUCUGAAGUGUGCUAUUCAGGAACUCAUUAAUUCACAUUGGAUUGAGUUUCAAACUCCAGAAGCACCCAAGAUUAAUCAAAACCCACUGCCUGCUCAUCAAGAGACAAAUAUGAUUGAGAUAGUGCACAAAGAGAGGGAGACCAAAAAGACUUCGCAAACUGUCAUGAUGAUCCGAGCCAGUGAACGAAAGUUGGUUGAGAAUUUAACAAGCGAGAUGUCGACGCUUAAGUUAGGUGGGGCAAGUAGUGAGCCUUUCGUUUUAGCCAGGAAGGAAUUCCCGAAAGACGGGAUGGUGAAAUAAGAAAACGCAAAGCAAGCCUGUGGUUGUUGUGGAAGGCGCUCGCAUAGAGCCUGUCAUUAUCAAAACCGUAACUCAGCUACCGAAGAUCAGCAGCAAAGCCGUACCUUGGAAUUAUGACCUACUAACAGUGACUUACAAAGGGAAAGAGGUUAGAGAAGAAGUUUGUGAGACCCAUGGAUUGACCCGGUAGGGGAGGUGCUUUACCCCCAAAUAAUUGAGAAAAUCAAAACCAACCAAGGACAACUCAGCGCCGGUGAAGAAAACUGUGAGUGAAGAGGAAGCAAAAGAGUUUCUGAAGAAGAUGAAAAUGCAGGAUUACUCUAUUGUGGAGCAACUGAGAAAUACGCCUGCUCAAAUCUCGCUGUUAUCAUUGUUGAUUCAUUCGGACGAGCACCGUCGGGCGUUGAUAAAGAUACUGAACGAGGCCCAUGUUCCUGAUAAAAUAACAGUCAAUCACUUGGAGAAGAUAGCCAACAAGAUUUUUGAGGUGAAUAGAGUCAUUUUUUCUGACGAUGAAUUUCCCAUUGAAGGCACCGAGCAUAAUAGAGCAGUCUAUCUCAUGGUAAAGUGUGAGGAUUCUGUGGUUAAUCGAGUGUUGGUUGAUAAUGGUUCAAGUGCAAAUAUUAGCCCUCUUUCCAGUUUCAACAAGUUGAAGGUAGAUGAUGAAAGAAUUCAGAAGAACAAUAUUUAUGUGCGAGGAUUUGAUGGCAGUGGAAAAGAUUCGGUCGGUGACAUAGUGCUCGAAUUGACAAUCAGACCAGUUGAAUUUACCAUGGAAUUCCAAGUGCUGGAUGUGGCUGUCUCUUACAACCUGCUGUUGGGACGACCUUGGAUCCACGCUGCUAGAGCAGUCCCCUCUACUUUGCAUCAAAUGGUGAAAUUUGAAUGGGAUCGACAAGAAAUAGUUGUGCACGGCGAGGACCAUAUAUAUGCUCAUAGUAAUGCUAUUGUACCAUUCAUUGAGGCAGAUGAUGACAAGGGGCCCUGGAUGUAUCGGGUUCAUAAUACAGUAUCUGUAAGAAAAUUGCGAGAGGGAGAGUGUGUUCCAACACCAAGGUUAGCUGCUGCGUCAGUCAUGGUGGCUGUUGAGAUGUUAAAGAACGGGUUUAUUCGGGGCGUCACUUCAAGGUAUCUCUCCCAUGAACAUGGAUACCUUUUGUUUGGGAUUCAAUACCACAGUUGCAGACAUCAAGAGAGACAGAAGGAUGAAGAAGAAAGCAUGGGCCCUCCCCAAGCUUGUGCCUCGUCUCUUCAGAUUAUUUGUUAGGCCCGCGCCAAGAAGCGCCAGGCAACAACAAGUUCUAGUACUGUGGGUGAUCCUGAUAAGGGAUUACUUGAAAGGUUUGGGAAGUUGUUUGAAGAUGUGAAUGUGGUAGAAGCCGGAGAGGGCUCUAGCAAGGCAGAUGUGUAAUUUGUUGGGCCCUAUGCAAAAAACAACAAUUAGGAAGCCACUCCUCUCCCCAACAGGAAGGAGUUUUGGUAGUUUGCUUUGAUUUUUCUUUCAAUUUCUCAGGUUUAUUCCAGGGUUGUAAUUCCGAGUCUAUGUUCCGUCCGUUUGGAUGUGUAAAACCUUGUUAUCUUUCAACUUCAAUGAAAUGCAAUUUCCCUUUUCAUCAGUGUUGAUAGUUUUUAUUUUUCUUUGCUUUUCUUUUCCUUCUUAUACAGUUAUUUUUAUGCUGGCUCCAAUGAUAUGACAUACAUAAGGACUCCUUGGCCCAGUGUUGAAAGCCGGUCUAGUUUUGAAGUAAUAAUUCAAGAAAUAGAAUAUGAGGAUGAACCAGAAUAUGAUGAGGAAAGAGUGUUUGAGGAAAUUAGUAAAGAGUUGAGCCAUUUUGAGGAAAAUCCAAGCCAAACCUGAGCAAUACAAAAUCAAUCAAUCUAGGGGACCAGGCAAUAUCAGAGAAACCACAAUAAGUAUCCAUAUUGAGCUGCAACUUAGGGAAGAAAUAAUCGAAGCCUUGUUUGAAUACAAAGAUGUUUUUACAUAGUCUAUGAUGAUAUGCCAGGGUUGAGCACUGACUUAGUGGUUCACAAAUUGCCCACUGACCGUGCCUUCCCUCAUGUUAAACAAAAGUUGAGGAUAUUUAAAACUGAUAUGAGUGUAUAGAUCAAAGAGGAAGUUACCAAAUAGUUUGAGACAAAAGUCAUCCGAGUCACCCGAUGUCCCACCUGGUUAGCCAAUGUCAUGCCUGUGCCAAAGAAGGAUGGUAAAACUAGGGUGCGUGUAGAUUAUCAUGACCUCAACAAAGCGAGUCCCAAGGACAACUUCCCACUGCCGAAUAUCCACUUAUAUGCCACUAGAUUUUGAAGGAUGAGGAGGAUGCGGAGAAUACAACAUUCAUCACACCGUAGGGAACAUAUUGCUAUAGGGUCAUGCCUUUCGGUCUGAAGAAUGUUGGGGCAACCUAUAUGAGAGCAAUGACAACCAUAUUCCACGAUAUGAUACAUAAGGAGAUUGAGGUCUAUGUGGAUGAUGUACCCUUUGGUCUGAAGAACGCUGGGGCAACAUAUAUGAGGGAAAUGAAAACCAUCUUUCUUGAUAUGAUACAUAAGGAGAUUGAGGUCUAUGUGAAUGAUGUAAUUGUGAAAUCCAGACAGCAAUCCGACCAUGUCGGAGACUGAGGAAAUUCUUCUAGAGGCUCCGCAGGUAUAAUCUCAAACUCAAUCCUGCGAAAUGUGCAUUUGGUGUGCCAUCAGGGAAAUUGCUAGGAUUCAUAGUCAGCCGCCGAGGCAUUGAACUAGAUCCAUCAAAGAUCAAAGCCAUACAAGAAUUGCCGCCUAUGAAGAACAAAACACAGGUGAUGAGUCUGUUAGGGAGAUUGAAUUACAUCAGUCGAUUCAUUGCUCAGCUUAUGAAAACCUGCGAGCCGAUCUUUAAGCUGUUGAAAAAGGAUGCCACGUCAAAUGGAUGGAGGAAUUCCAGGAGGCAUUUGAUAAAAUAAAAGAAUACUUGCAAACCUACCGAGGAACAAAAAAGAGGUAAUGAUUCUAUUUGGAAGAUUGAAUUACAUCAGUAGAUUUAUUGCUCAGCUCACGACGACUUGUGAGCCCAUCGUUAAGCUGUUGAAAAAGGAUGUUGCGGUGAAAUGGACGGAGGAAUGCCAGGAGGCUUUUGAUAAAAUAAAAGGAUACUUGUCGAACCAAUCGGUAUUGGUCCUACCGAAACAUGGGAGGCCUUUGAUCCUAUAUCUGACAGUCUUGGACAACUUAUUUGGAUGUAUGCUGGAUCAGCAUGAUAUCACAAGGAGAAUGGAGUAGGCCAGAUACCAUCCCAGAUCAUAGCUUAUGAGGUCAAGUACACUCAUCUUGAAAGGACGUGUUGUGCUCUAACUUGGGUAGCAUUAAAGUUGAAACACUACCUAUCAUCAUAUACUACUUACCUCAUUUCACGCAUGGACCCGUUGAAAUACAUCUUUCAAAAGCCAAUGCCCACAGGGAGGCUUGCAAAAUGGAAAAUCUUGCUCACCGAGUUCGAAAUUGUCUAUAUAACUAGGACUACAAUGAAAACACAUGCAUUGGAUGAUCAUCUAGCCAAAAAUCCGGUGGACGAAUAAUAUGAACCUUUAAAGACAUACUUCCUGGAUGAAGAAGUGAUGCAUAUUGAUGAAAUGGAACAUGACGAGAAGCCUGGAUGGAAGCUAUUCUUCUAUGGGGCCGCCAACAUGAAGGGCGCCAGGAUAGGAGCAGUACUCUUUUCUAAGACGGGGCACCAUUACCCCGUUACAGCUUAGCUCCGCUUCUAUUGAACAAUAUGAGGCAUGUAUUUUGGGUCUGAGGUUAGCUGCAGACAUGAGUGUCCGGGAAGUCUUGGUCUUGGGGGACUCAAACCUUCUGGUACACCAGAUUCAAGGGGAAUGAGAAACACAAGAUUUGAAGCUCAUACCAUAUCAGAAAUGCUUGCAUGAUCUUUGUCAAGAAUUCCGGUUAGUAGAGUUCAUGCAUAUACGAAGAACACACAAUGAGGUUGCUGAUGCCUUGGCUACUUUGGCAUCAAUGUUACAUCAUUCAAAUAAGGCUUAUGUUUACCCGCUGCAUAUCAAGGCCCAUGACCAACAUGCGUACUGUAAUGUGGUGGAAGAGGAGCUUGAUGGUAAACCUUAGUUUCACGACAUCAAAGAAUAUAUCAGGAUGGGUGAAUAUUGGUAAAAGCCUCAAGUGAUCAAAAGAGAACAAUUCGUCGCUUGUCAAGCGAGGUUUUCUUCAGUGGAGGGGUACUGUACAAAAGAACACCGGAUCUUGGGUUGUCGAGAUGCAUAGAUGCUAGACAGGCCACAACCAUCAUGACCGAGGUACAUUCUGGAGUUUGCGGACCUCAUAUGAGUGGGUAUGUUUUUGGCAAUGAAGAUCCUCCGGGCAGGGUAUUAUUAGCUCACCAUGGAACGAGAUUGUAUCAGUUUCAUACGCAAAUGUCAUCAAUGUCAGGUGCAUGGAGAUUUUAUUUAAUCACCACCAUCUGAAUUACAUAAAAUGUCUGCACCAUGGCCCUUCCUUGCUUGGGGCAUGGAUGUCAUCGGACCCAUCGAGCCAGCAGCUUCUACUGGACACAGGUUCAUCCUGGUUGCUAUUGAUUAUUUUACCAAAUUGGUCGAAGCUAAAACUUUCAAGGUGGUGACCGAGAAGUCCGUGGUUGAUUUUGUGCAUUCAAAUAUCAUUUUCUAGUUUGGAAUCCCGAAAAUACUCAUCACUGACAAUGGAGCAAACCUCAACAGUUAUUCGAUAAAAGAGGUAUGUCAGCAGUUUAAGAUUACACAUCGCAAUUCCACCCCAUACCGCCCAAGGCGAAUGGAGCACUUGAGGCAGCCAAUAAGAACAUAAAGAAGAUACUUUGAAAAAUGGUGGAAGGGUCCAGAAAAUGGCAUGACAAGCUACCUUUUUCAUUGUUAGGAAAUCGCACUACUGUUUGCACCUCGGUAGGGGCAACUCCGUAUUUGUUGGUGUAUGGCACAUAAGCAGUUAUACUGGCAGAAAUUGAAAUCCAAUCCCUUCUGAUUGUCGCCGAGGCAAAAAUUGAUGAUGAUGAGUAGGUCAAAACUUGCAUGGAACAAUUAAGUUUUAUUGAUGAGAAAAGAUGAGCAGCAGUGUGUCACGACCAAUUGUAUCAACAGAGAAUGGUCAGAGCAUAUAACAAGAAGGUUCGCCCAAGAAGGUUUGAAGUGGGUCAAUUGGUAUUGAAGCGCAUCCUCUCUCACCAGGUAAAGGCAAAGGGCAAGUUCGCCCCAAAUUGGCAAGGGUCGUUCAUCGUGUCAAGAAUGUUGUCCAACGGAGCAUUGUAUCUAACAGAUGUAGAAGGCAAGUGCGUAGAAACGACCAUCAAUUCUGAUGCAGUUAAGAGAUAGUAUGUAUGAUUGUCUUUGAUUAAAUCAUAUUUGUUUGUACUUGGUACGUUUGUUUGUACUAGGCAUAUUUUAGAGAUUGGAAUAAUGAAGGCAUUUUAUUUGGCUAUCUAAACACUUUAUCCCUUGUUGACCCUUUCGAGCUUUAAUUAUUUUCUUGCACACCCCUCUUUCGGAAUCAAUAUCUAAAUUAGAAGCGCAAGUCUGAGAAAUGAGUAAAGGGAAAAGAAAAGGGAAAAAUGAAAAGAAAAAAAAGAGAGAAGAAAAGUAGAAGAAAAGAAAUAAAAGAAAAAGAAAGAAAAAGAAAAAUAAUGAAAAAGAAAGGAAAAGAGAAAAAAACACAAAAUAACAAAACAACAAAGGGAAAAAGGAAGAAAUAAAAGAAAAGAGUGAGAAGAAAGAGAAAAGAGAAAAUCACGACAAAAACAAAGCAGUUCUUGAGGAUGAACUACAUUUGACCUGAUUUCUUUUAAGGAUACGUAGGCAGCCUCACGGUUCGGUCUCAUUAAAAUAAAAAUCCAAAAAGUCCCCAACCAAGAAACUAGGCUAGAAGUUGUGUUUGUUGUAAAAGAUUUGAUUCCGAAAGUUGUAAUGUUGAACCUAUUUGAUUUGUUUUGAGCCGGUAAUACUCUUUCUUUCUAACCUUAUCCAAAAGCCUGUAUUACGGUCCAAAAAAAGACCUUCCAAUCAGUAUGUAAGAAAUGCCAAGUUAAGCAAGAAAAGGUGAUUCAUACCCGGGGCAACACUCUAGUUCGAGCAAGACAAGAUGAAAAUGAGAGAGUCUUAUCGGUGAAAACCCUCACGGGCACCGUAAGGUGACGGGAGUCGAGAGAAAACCAAAAUGAGAGUCUUGUUGGUGAAAACUCUCACGAUCACCUUAAGGCGAAGAUAAGUCGAGAAAUGAAAAACUGGAAAGGGUUGCUGGUGUAAAUCUGUUCAGAACACCGCAAGAUAAGUAAGGUCAAGGUGUGAUUAAAGAAAUUGGGUUAAGGAAAGUCACAACAACAGGGCAUGGCAACUGAAGGCCGAUCAUUUGAAGAGACUGGGUCGACUAAGCCGAAGUGCAUGUCAUGAUCAUUAGAAUCAGAUGUUCCUUCACAGAUAAGUUUCUCCUCUUGUCCCCUCAGUAGUCACCAAAUUUGGAAUUCUUUUAUUCUAAAAACAAAACAACUCAGAGUCAUUGCAUUUCAUUUUUUCUUUCGGGUCCCCAUUCUUCUAAGAUGUUUUAAGGAUAAAUUUGUUUAAGCAGGUAGGAGAGAAAUUUCAAAGCUUGCUACCAGCUCCCAAAUGGUAAAGCACAUUGCGGCUAAAAUAUAACAAAGGUAGCAGAAGUUAAAAUGGCAAUUGAAAGAAUCAUGAAAGAUUCGUCAAUGAAAUGAUUCGGUAAUCUCAGAAAAGAGGUAAAGAUAAUGGCAAGAGGUUUAAGAAUGUAAUACAAUGAUGGGGAACAGAGCACUCAGUUCAUCUAAAAGCCAUAGGGUUCAGGGGUCAGCCGAACAAAUCAAGGUGACUCAUAGUCAGGAGGGGAAUGUUGGACACAACGGAGCGUGACAGCGGGAAGGCCAUUUUCAGCAAGAAGUGCCGCAAGCUAACCACCGCAUUUCAAACUGACAAGAUUUUUUUUGAUUGAAACAGGGGCAGGAAAUUCCAGAUGCCUUGGGGAAGUUCUCCAUUGAAAAAGCAAGCAGCUGGUAGGUAUGAGUGUGAACUUCAGGACCCUCCUGGAAAAUGGGACUUAGUUUAAGACUCAAACAGUCACGGGAAUAUGAUCUGGCUCAAUUAUUCCCAAUAGGAGUCGUCAGGGCCCUCCUGGUAGUGAGAUGUAACUUUAACUAGCAAUCCCCAACAGAGACAACCGAGAGUCAAAAUUGACAUUUAAUUGAAAUUCUCAAGACCUCCCUGAAAAUGGGACCUAUCUAAAGGUUGGGGAUAAUCAUGAAUAACAAAGAGCAUAAAGUGACUUGCAAGAGAUAGGAUACACAUAGGAAUUGUUAGGGCCCUCAUGAAUAAUGGGGUGUAACUAUAAUUGGCAAUUCCCCAGCAGAGACAACCAAGAUUUUAAUAUUGGAAUUUAAUUUGGAGUUCUCAGGACCCUUCUGGAUAAUUUGAUUUAAUUUUAUAAGUUUUCAGGACCCGCCUGGAUAAUAGGAUUUAAUUGUAAAAUCUUUCAGGACCCUCCUGGAUAAUAGGACGUUCUUUAAGUGCUGAUCCCCAUCAGACAUGAUUUGGAUUUAAAAUGGGUCUUAAUUAAGAGUUGUCAGGACCUUCUUGGAUAAUGGGACGCAACCUUAAUAUUCUCUUAAAUAACAAGACAUAGGGGAAAUAAUACUUCUAGAGGCGCAACCUAGUCUUAGAGUUGUUGUUAGUUAAGAAUUGUCGGGACGCUCUUAGAUAAUAGGAUGUAACUUUAAUUACUGGUCCCCAACAGAUAUACCUUAGAUAACAAGACAUAGUGGAAGUAAUACCUUUGGAGAACAUAGCCUAAUCUUAUAGUUGUUAUUAGUUAAGAGUUGUGAGGACCCACUGGAUAAUAGGAUUUAGCUUUCAAAGAUAUUUGGUAACAGGAUUUGAUUAAUACUCACAGAUGCAUCCAGCACCAAGCUAGGGAAGAACAAAUUUCUUUUGUUUUGUUUGUUUUGUUGUAAUCAGAUUUAAAGGCAGCAGUUUCAGGGAAUACUUUUCAAGUAUUUGCAAUCAGGCGCCCACCUGGAUAACAAAGGAAUACUUUUCAUGUUUUUGCAAUCAGGCGCCCAGCUGGAUAACAAGGGAAUACUUUUGAAGUUUUUGCAAUUAGACGCCCAUCUGGAUAAUAAGGGAAUACAUUUUAAUUUUCAAGUUUCAAGUUUUGAUAAUCAGGCGCCUACCUGGAUAACAAGGGAAUACAUUCGGUAAUCAGGCGCCCACCUGGAUAACAAGGGAUUACAUUCCAAGUUUUGGUAAUCAGGCGCCUACCUGGAUAACAAGGGAAUAUAUUUCAAACUUUGGUAAUCAGGUGCCCACCUGGAGAAUAAGGGAAAACAUUUUCAAGUUUUUGUUAAUCAAGCGUCCAUCUAGAGAACAAGGGAAUACAUUUCAAUUUUUAUUCAUGUUUUGGUAAUCAGGCGCCCACCUGAAGAACAAGGGAAUACAUUCCAAGUUUUGGUAAUUAGGUGCCCACCUGGGUAGCAAGGGAAUACAUUUUCAAGUUUUUGGCAAUUAGACACCCACCUGGAGAACAAGGGAAAACAUCUCAAAUUAAAAUUCAAAGCGGCAACAAAGGAGUUUCACCAGGAGAAUACAAGUCAACAAGGCAACAAGGAAUUUUCACAGGAGGAUACACAAGUCAACAAGGAAACAAGGAUCGAUAGCAAGUUGGAGGACAUAGAUAGGUUCUUUUCUAAUCCAUAGAUCAUAGCCUAGUCUAGCUUCUUUUUAUUUUUACAUGUUAUGAUAAGGGGUCUAGCAAGCAGCAGCAGUAGCAGCAGUAGCAGCAGCAACAAUGAGAUCACAACUUCGGUAAUCCCAGCUACCAAACACUCCUGAACUACACUGACCUGAUUCCUUUUUAGCCAAGGAUAUGUAGGCAGCCUUUGAAGCAGGGUGUGUUCAAGAUUUUAAAAAAUGCUUCUCACGGAGUAUUCGAACGGGCCAAAAUCGCUCGUAUCCGCUCACUUAUCUUUGCACAAAAACUCUUCGUGUUUCGGGACAAAGGGGGGCAGUUGUGAGCAUGUGAUUUUUUCCCUACACAAAUUACUCCUAUAAAUUCAAAUAAAAUAAUUUCUUUUAUUUAUUUGCAAUUUUAUCGAUUUUUGUGGUAUUUUCUGUUAAUUGUUUGCGUUUUGUUUGUGCAUUUUAAUUAGUAAAAAAUAUAAAAAUAUGUUACAUGUGCAUUUAGAAGUUGAUUUGAUAUUUUUCAAGUAUUAAUUAGUAAUUAGUCAUUUUAUAAAAAAGAAAAAAUCAAAAAAUAGUUUAAUUUGCACUUUUAAUUUUAACUUUGAUUUUAGGUGAUUUUGCUUUCAAUUUUGUUUAAUUUAUUUGUGAUAAUCAUUUUAGGAUUAAUUAGCAUGUUUUUUUUGGUGGUUUUUCUUUUACUUUUGUUUAAUUUAUUGGUGAUAAUGAUUAUGUAGGAUAUAUCAACAUUUUUAUAGGUUGAUUUGGGAUUUAUAUUUAAUUUAGGAUUCCUAGUUUUAAUUUGGAAAAAAAAAGAGAGAGAUUAAAAGCUGAAAAAUAAAGAUAAAGAAGAAGACCCAAAUUGGGCUAAUUGUAUUAAAUUCCCAGCCCAAAUAACCCCCUAACUCGGUCCCAUGCCCGUCCCAGACCUUGUCCAUCCCCCUUAAAAAACCAAACAACAUCGUUUAGCAUGGUUUAAUCUCAGCCGUCUAGGAUCUUUGAUACAACAGAUGAGAACUAAGGAGAGUUAAUAUAUAUAUGUCCGAACACCACAAAAUACCCCCAAUCCCCCAGUCUCUAACCUCUCGUACCUAAAACACUAUAACCACCCUGUCUCCGCCACCCAUCGCCGUCCGUCCCAGCCGAAAAUUGCCCACGGUGGCGACGGAGCUCCAAUCGUCCCCAAAUUUACACUGCCGAUUCCCCUCCCUCUCCUCUACCAAAAUCCACCACCACAAUCCCUCAAAACCAAGCCGAACUUCUUGAAUAUUGGCCAGAAGCACUGGCUCCUCCACCAAACAUGGCGGUGCCGCCGCUAAUCCACCCCAAAAUCACACCAAAAGACCCUUUCCCCUCCCUCAUUCCAAAUCCUCAGUAACAAUCCUUCAAAACAUCCCUUACUGCUCAAAUCUCAAAUCAGAAUCAAGCCCUGAGAGUAAAAAAACAACAAAAAUAGAUUCAUGCAUGCGAGUCAAGCCAGUACUUCAAGGAUUUCAAGUUCGAUUGGUUAGUUUUUAUGUUUAUUUUACCUCUUGAUUUCCUUCUUGACUUCUCCUUUUCUUUACGGUUAAGGUUUGGACUUCAAGUUUAUCUUCUGUAAAUAAGUUUGAUUUUAGUAUUCCCGCCUUUAGAUUAAUUUGGAUAUGUUCUUUGAUUUUGGUUGUUUUUCAAAUCCCGAAACUGGUUCGUUGAGCCCUUGAUUAGUUUUAUCUCAAUUCAGAUUAGUUAGUUUGUAUUGAUUUAGUAAUGUAGUUAAUACCUUGCCUAGCUGUGAAUUGUUCAGAAUUAUUUUGAAAUCCUUUGGGUCAGUAAUGCCUGAGUUCAUUUGGUUAAGUGCAAUUGGGUGUUGGGCUGUCUGUGAGUCAAUUGGCAAUGAGCAGCCCACCCAAUUUGAUUCAGGCUAUUGGGUCAAAGUUUGGACCCAUAUUGGCCUGGUUCUCAAGGUAAUUUCAUAGAAUAGGAGGGAAAUAUAGGCAAUUGCUCAGGGAAUCUUAUCGUAACAAUAAUAGGGAGCCUCUAGUAGGAGCUUUCUGUUAAUUUUGGGUAAUAAAACUUUGUCCACAAGUUAGAAACGGAGGGACCUAAAUGAAAUAAAAAAUCUGAAAGGUACCCUAAUUAUUUGCCUAUAAAGGCAUUCGUUCUUGCCUUAGGAAAAGAGGAGGAUAUUUUAAAAAGUUUGCAGAGUUCGAAAGAGAUUUUGAUGAUAAAAAAACUCAGCCGGCCAGAAUUCAGGUUAAAAAACACUGUUCCAUUGAACAUCUGUUCUGGACUCUGAAGUUUUCAUUGAUUCCUUUCAGUUCCUGAAAUUCUCAAGCUUUGAAAUACUUCAUGGUUAAUCUGGGGUUGAAUAUGGUUUAAUUUGAGGUUUGGCAAUUGGUUUUGGGGUUGCUAUUGUCCCAUUGAACGCUUGCUGGAAUUUUGAGGGUUUGAAUUUCUAAUAUAAUUGCUUGAUUCUAUUAUACUAAAAUGAGUUGAGUGCUGUUUGUUUGAAUUUGGGUAUUAGAGUCAGCCGGGUUAUAUUAGAUUGGUUGUUUUUGGAGUUGUUCAAAUCAGUCUUUGGGAUGCUGUUAAGGUUGCUACUGCUGUUGCUUGUGAUGUGCUUACCCAUUCCUUUUUCCUCUGACACUCAGGUACACAAUUUUGUAACUCCUUGACUGUGAAGUGAAGAAAUGAAAUGAAAUGAAGAUCCUGAAGUAUUUCACCAGAUUUUGUAACUUAUUUACAAUGUUCUUCGUAAAAUCUGUAUGUUGACAAUAUGAUGCAAUAUGGUGUGAUUUGCCUUUAGAUAGACUAGCUAUAUCACAUGUUUUGUAAUUGAACUGAGGACUGUCAGAGAAUUCAGUAGUUGCUUCUUUGAUAUGCACUUUUAGAGCUAUGAAAAAUGGGUACUUAGUUGGUGUGGUAUCCUGAAUGAAAGAAUUUUUUGGUAUUUUCGAUUAUUCAUAGCUUAUCACGUUUUAAAAGUAUUCGAGUAUAUUGUUAAGUUCAAGCUGGUCAUCGAAAAAGGUUCAUUCAUGAAGCUAGGGUACUAAGUAAUGGUCGAAGUUUCCUUUAAACCAAUUCUAGAAAAUCAAAAUGGCAUGGAUACUGAAUAAUAACUUAAGUUCGAGUUGUGGUUUAGUUGUGCUUUCUCUGAAGGGGUUAAAUUCGUUACUCAAAUGAGUAAUGGGUGAUUUUGAAUCAGACCUGGCCCAUUUUUCUCAUCUGAGGUAGUUUGAGGUCCACGUGGUUGUUAUUAGCUUGUGCAUCGACUCGUAGCCAUACGGAUUCGAUAAUGGGGCUUCGAAAUAAAAGGCUGCAUAUUUUUCAGCCUCUUUUGGGCUGGUAUUUGAGCCCAGUUCACCUCUCGUUAGUAUAGAAGUUUUCACACAGUUUUGGGCCAAUGGUUAGAUUAGGCCCAAAAUCCUAAAAUAGAUUUAAAACAAGUUUGGUAAUCUAGCUAAUUGUAUUUGGAUCCCUCGACCAUUAAUUAAGAGAUCUUAUCAAAUACAAAUACAUACAACUUUAUAAAUUUAGUUUAAUUUACCUUUACAAAUAUAAUCAAGGUGUGCCAAUGCCAUAUAAAAUGGAACAAUUGCAAUGCCCUUGUUUAAUUAAUCUUGUAUUGAUUAUUAGAAUUCGAGGCAUGCCACCUAGUAAAUUUUCCGUGGCCCUCGCAAAUUCAUAAAAUACGCAAUUGCCUUAGACGCGCUAGUUAAAUAAUGUACUUUCCUAAAUAUGGCUGCACAUUUAUGUGACCCAAAUCCAAAUCUCAACAUUGGGUGAAAUAUGUUGUGAAUUAUAGGUGCAUUUAUGUGACAUGGUUCAAGAUGCAUUUUAACAACGUUGCAAUCUUCUUAUAAUUAAAUAAAGCGGUUAAAAGUUAAAACUUACACAAAGGUACAAAAAUUUAUUAAAAACAGAUAAUUGAGCCGAAUAUAUUAGUUGAGCGACCAUGCUAGAACCACGGAACUCGGGAAUGCCUAACAUAUUCUCCCGGGUUAACAAAAUUCCUUACCCGGAUUUCUAGCUCGCAGGCUGUAUACAAAUUCAAACCUUCCUCGACUCAGGAUUUAAACCGGUAAUUUGGGACACCAUUAAUUAUCCUAAGUGGAGACUCUGAAAUCUUUAAAUAAAUAAAUCCUGUUUCGAUUGUCCUUUAAUUGAAAAAAAUCCUUAUCUACACCCUUUGGCAGGGUGUAGUUUAAAAAAGAAGGUAUGACAAGGGUCAUGUCAUCUUCGUGCAGGAUCACAUCCACUAUCUCUACUAAGGAGAAAUUAUAAUAUUCACUGGGUCUCCUCAUGUAUUGUUGAACGUUGAAUAUGACUUCUUCAUCGUUCAACCUCAUUUUUAAUUCCCAAUUUCACAAUCGAUCAUUGCUCUCCCAGUGGCUAAGAAUGCCCCCCCAAAAUAACAGGUAUCUCUUAGUCUACCUGGAAAUCUAGAAUAACAAAGUCUGCAAGGAACAUAUACUUCCCCACUUGUACCAACACAUCAUCAAGAAUCCUUGUCAGCCUUUUAACCAUGCGGUCAGCCAGUUGCAAAAGAAUCAAAGUCGGGCUAGCUUUGCCAAUGCCCAGUUUGGUAUAUAUGGCCAGCGUUAUCAAGUUAAUGCUGGCUCCUAAGUCAUAUAACUCCUUUGCAAAGGCAUAACUCCCAAUAGUGCAUGGAAUAGUAAAGCUACCUAGAUUAGACAUCUAUUGAGCCAUGGGUCUUGUCACUACUGCAUUGCAUGUCAGUGUCAGAGUUACUGUGGAUAGUUCAUGAAAAUCAAACUUUCUUGACAUUAGGUCCUUCAUCAUCUUUGCAUAGCCUGGCAUCUCCCUCAAAACAUCCAUCAGAGGAAUAUUCAAUUGAAUUUGAAGCAACAUAUCCAUGAAUUUCCUGUAUUGAUCUUCCUUAUUUUGUUUUACUAGUCUCUGAGGGAAUGGUGCAAGCAUCACCCUUUCUGCACUGUUUGCUGGCUUUUGUCCGUUGGGGUUCUGUGGCAUAAGAGUUACCACAUGUUCUGUAGAUUGUUCACUCUCUUUAGCUUUACCUUAUCAUCCUGAACCUGUUCAACCACCACUUCAGUAAGUUCUAUUGAUUCAUCUACCUCCAAUGGAACUAGAGUGGUUGGUGUAGUCUCUUUGUUGGCUUGUGCAACUUCCUGCUCCCUAUCUAAAUCUCUCCUGUUCCAAAUACUUGCUGCCAUUAGCUGAUACGGGUUUUGCUCCUUGGUUUAAUGUUCGUAUCUACUGGCAAUGUUCCCUGGGGGCGGUUGUUUAAGGCCAUAGUCAACUGCCAUAACUGAGUUUUAAUAUUCUUUAUUGCUGAGUCAUGCACUACCAACGUUUCCUGUAUCUUACCAUUUGUUCCAAUGAAUUAAUGAAAUAUACCCCUGAUCCCUACCAUGUUGUUAUCUUGUUGCUAAGGAGGUGGUUCAUAUGUCAACUAUUGCUGGUUCUGUUGUGGAUAGUCCUGUUGUCUCUGAUAUGGCACCAUUUUCCCUUGGGGUUGCAUACCUCCAGGUUGUGGCAUGUUUGGUCUGUAUUGCUGAUUUGGUGCUGGUCUCCACUGUUGUCCUCCUUGUCUCUAACCCCCAAUGUUGUUGACAUAAUUCAUAUAUUCUCUUAGCCCUGGUUGUGAACUUCUCCUCUCCAUAAACACACAUAAGAUUUCUUAACGCAAUAAUAUGCACUUGCGUUGUGCCCAUUUCAUCAAUCUUCUUUGUCAAUAUACUCAUCUACGUCAUGAGUGUGGCUAUGUUGUCUACAUGCAAAUUAUUUGGGUCAAGAGGAACUGAAUGCACUAUUGCUGCCAGUUUUGUACCUCUCACCAUUCGCCCCGAAUUCUGCGACAUCUUGUCAACAAGGAUUUUGCACUCGGUGAAUGUCUUACUAAAAAAUGCUCCCCCAGUUGAAGCAUCUACAUUGGCCUUUAGAUUUUUAGCUAACCCCAUGUAGAAUCUCUGGCCGAGCAUCUGGUCUGGAAUACCAUGGUGGGGACACUUCACUAGCAUCCCUUAGAAUCUUUCCCAAGUUUCUUGCAAGGUCUAAAUAGGCUGCUGCUUGUACUGCAAUAUUUCAUCAAUCUACCUUGAAGUCUUGUUGGGUGGGUAAAACAUAUUUAGGAACUGCUUGACUAAUUCCUCCUAGGUGACAAUAGAAUUUACUGGGAGCAAAUUUAGCCAAGUUUGAGCUUCCCCAGUCAUAGAGAUGAGAACAGUAAAAACUUGACAGCUUCUAGGGUCAAAUUUGGAUACCUUUGGGCCACACAAAUUGAUAGAAAAAUUUACAAAUAUCGUUGAGGGUCUUCAAUGUGUGACCCGGAGAAUAAUCCCUUUUAUGCUGAAGAUGCAUCAUGUUGCUGGUGAUCUGGAAUGUCUCCGCUUGUAUUGGGGGCACAACUACGGCAGUGGCCAGGUUGUCAGCUGUCAGUUGUGCCUAAUCAUAAAGUGCAGCUUUUGGCACAAGAGGUGCCACCACUCUGAUGUUUAGGUCAGCUGGCUCAUCCCUGAUGUUUCCGUUGACGUUAUCUACGUGACCCAUGUCCCUUUCAAGUUUGUGUGGUUGUUGUUAUUGUUGGAUCCUCUUGUUAGCACGAUUCAAUGCGCUGAAUAUUUUCUCGGGUCUCAGGUUCCUUCAAGAAGAUCUCCAGUCCUCAAAGAAUUUCUAGGCAUACACCUGAACCCCACAAGAGUUCAAAUUUGAGAAUUUAAAUGAAAAAUAUUCUUUAACACCUUCAAAAAUUGAUCUAAACUAAUAAUUCUAGCAUUACUUCUAAGUUGUAAUAUAUAACACUGUUAAUUCCCCGGCAAUGGCGUCAAAAUUUGAUCAUGCCCAACUAUGCCUUCUAAAAGACAAAGUGGUCGUUGCAAAUAUAAUCUGGUUUUAAGUUUGGAGUCGAAUCCUCAGGGAACUAACCUAUCUAUUACAAAUCUUGCCAAUGCAAAUCAACUCAAACAACUUCCAGAUACAAGAUUUUAAUCAAUAGAGGUUGGGUUUUUGUUUAACUACUUCAAAGGAUAUUAAAAAUAAUUAUAUUCUAAAUCAAAGAUAAUUCAAGGGUAAAAAGGUCCAGGGCAUUUAUUUCCCCAACCGCUAGUUUAGGUCUUAACGCUUUUGCUAUAUUCAUACCAUAAUACUCAAUGAGGAUUGUGAGCUAUGGGUUAUCGUACUUAUCUCUCGAUCAACUACGAUAAUUUACUAGAGCAUUCUCUCGAGCUACUCAACUUGACAAUAAGUGCAACUCUGAAUUAUCCCACCAAAAGUUUUGUUAUCUCUAACCCCACUUUUAAGUUCAAGUAAUGAAUCUCUUCAAUUACCCAAAAGUGGUGUAUUGCUAGUUUAGGUCUUAACUCUUUUGCUAUAAUUUCGCCGUAAUACUCUAUGAUGAUUAUGAGCUAUGGGUUAUUGUAAUUAUAUCUCGAUCAACUACGAUAAUUUACUAGAGUAUUCUCUCGAACUACUCUAGCUGACAAUAUGUGCAUCUCUGAAUUAUCCCAUCAAAGUUUCGUUAUCUCUAACCCUACUUUUAAGUUUAAGUAAUGAAUCUCUUCCAUUAUUCAAAAGCGGUAUUGUUCAACAACAGUCUAACCUAAUAUUCUUUUUCAAGCAACAUAAGGCAAUUAGACACGAUUAAUCAAGGGCCCAUUCAAUUAAUCACCAUACAAAACGUAGUUGAACACUCAUAUAAUAAAUCCGGCUUGGUUAUAACAAAGUUGAGUCAAAACUUCAUCCAACAAUUGUUUCCAUCAAUCCUAGAUCAAUUCUUUAGCUACUCAUAACAAAGCAAGAUAAAACAACAAAAUUCUUCAUAAUGUGUAAUUGCAAGAAAUAAAAGGAGAUAGAAGAACUCUAAUGUUUGGUUGAUCUUCUCACACUUGUUAUUGCCUCUAAAGUAGUCUAAAAACAAUCUUGAUACUUUCUUGGGUGAGCUUCUUGAGUUUAUAAGGUUUUGGAAUAAGUUUUUCCCGAGUUACACUUUGAUCCCACAAGUUCUGGGCACUGCACAGUUCACCGCAGCCACAGAACGACCGUGGCGAGAGCCAAACGUUUUGCGUGCGUUUGUGGCCUACCGAAGUCCCACCUCGGUCCUCCACGGUCAUAGUGGAUUCAAAACCAGUCCCUUUUUUGCUUCUUUAUGCUUGGGUGCUUCUUGCUUGGAUGAUUUUUUCACACUAUUAACUCCAAAACACUCCAUAGUUCUUCCUAACUUCGAUUAGUUCCUACAAAGCAAAAGAACACCAAUUAGAGCAUUUUGUUAUAUUUAGCCUAUAAACAACAAUGACACAUGGUCCAAUUAGGGUUUAAAUAUCGUCUAUAUAGCCAACUAUCAAGAACCUUUAGGAAAAACUUCACAUUCUUGAAUUUUUGUCAUGCCCAUCUGUUGAUUCUGGUACUAAAUGUCACACCUCCUUUUUACACGGAUACCUCGAAGGAUGACACCUAUAAUGGAGUUUUUCCAAUUAAAGUGACAUUAUUUGAAAUGAGAUUAUUUAUUUAUUUUUAGAGUCGCCAGUUAGGAUAGAUUUGGUUUUUUGGUGUCUCAAGUCACCGGUUUAUUUAGAAUCCCGAAUCGAGGAAAUUUCCGACUACCCAAAUGAAGUCCGUGAACCAAAAAUUCUAAGUAAGGAAUUCUGUUGACCCGAGGGAAGGUGUUAGGCACCCCCGGAUCCCGUGGUUCUAGCACGGUCGCUAAAACUACUAUAAUUGGCUAAAAUGCAAAUUUUGCACAUGUUCAUCCUAUAGUGUAGUUUUAAGUGAUUUAUGCCACUUUUAACAUGUUUAAGAAUAUUGCAACGGUAUUUAAAUGCAUCUCGAACCACGUCACGUAAAUGCAUCAGCGGUUUUUGACAUUUUUUAACAUCGUUGAGAUUUAUGAUUUGGGUCACAUAAAUGCGCACCCUAAUUUAGGAAGAUGAAUUAUUAAAAUAACGCGCCUAAAGCAACUACGCGUUUUUAACUUCGUGGGAAAUCUAUGAAAUUCGCUAAAUGGCGUCUCCCGGAUUUCUAAGAAUUUUACUAUAAUUAGAGGGCCACACAACAUAUGAUUUUGUUUAGCGUGGCACACUCAUUUUAUUUUUUUUAGAAAGGCAACCUAAAGAAACUAUGAUUUUUCUAUUAUACGUGUCUCUAAAAUAAAAGACAAGUCCUAAUUAAUUCAUAUGUUCAUGAUAUAUUAAAAGGAAACGUUCAACAUGGAUAUCUUCAGCAUUUUUAUGGCUGAUUUCUGCAAUUGGGCUUUGUUAUUAGAAGUGGCAAGCCCAGAGAGUAUAUUUUCCUAUCUCUCACAACUACAACGGUUUGGGCCUUCAGUUUGAGCCCAGAAACGGAAACUACAAUUUAAUCACAAGGCAAGCGUAGCACUCCACAAAUCUCUAUGUCACAGCUGUUUAAAAUCACUUAUAUUUUGAUAAUUCUAACGUUUCAAUGUCGCCUAACGGAGUAAUUUUCAUAUAGUGAUCCUUUUCUUGCUUUUGAAUCAAUAUAAUAAAACUCAAGUUUAAAUUAGAUAUAUAUAAAUUGAUAGACCUAGCAAUGUGAAUCAGAAUAGUAUACACAUGAUGACUCUCUAUUAUUGAACUACACACGAGGAUCAAGCAGAUUAUUGACUAUCAUAUUUCAUCCUACAGAAAUUUUAAAAUAAUUUGAUAUUGAACAUUUCAAAUAACUUGCAACAGUCUAGCAUAGUCCAAGUGUGUAUAUAUUACAGCACCAAUCCAUUGAGACGAAUGUUCUAAAUAUCACUAAACAAGUAGUGUUUAUAGCUAUAACAUUAACAUAAAAAAUAAAAAUGUCUUCAUUAUCAAAUGUGACCACGCAUACAUGCAGCAGUGCUUUUCCAGAUCUCCUGAGUGAGAAUAAAUACCUGGAAUUACAGCAAAGAAGAAAGCACCUAUGACCAAUGUAAACAAGAAGAAACAAUCAGCUGCAAAUCGACCAAUUAAAACCCAGAAAUAGUAUCAGGAAGUCCAGGAAAGUUUUAAAAGACCAACAACACCAAUAAAUUCCAAUCCUAUAGCUCGAACAAAGCAAUCCAGUCCGAGAUCAAUGCCCAAAAUAGGUCUGAAGAUUCCAACACCCAAAAUACAUAUGCUUCAAGUUACCUUCAUUUUAUAAUAGAUAGAAUUUUGAUCAUCCGGAAGUUUUUUUAGGAGAUUUUUGCCAGAAUAAGAGAGCUUGGGAUAUUUUCAAGGAAUUUUAGAUGGUGUCUAAAACUCUUUUUUUUUCUCUCCUUUUUCUUUAAAAGCAAUAAGAUGCCUUUUUAUAGCCAAAUCGUUAGGGCAACUCUCUCUUUUUGUGUUUUCUCAUUACUCACUUCCCUAUUUCUUAGAAUUGCUUGAUUAGUCCCUUAUUUUCUAGCUUGUGCCUCAAGUUUUAUUAAAGAAUUACUAGAAAUUGGUCUUUGAACGUCCAACUAGAAGGUUCCAAGGGUUUGUUGCAAGAUUCCAAUGCUCAAAUACCCCUAUUACCCUGUCUUUUCUUUCCAAUUACUUAACCUAAAUAUUUCCACCCUGGUUCCUAUCAAUUUGGUCAGAAGUUGACCAUAGUUAACUACUCAGGGCCAUAAACCAUAAACAAAAUCAUAAUAUCAUUAUCAAUUGAGUUAAACCUUAAUAAGUUGAGCUGGCUAAUCAUUCAAUUUAACCAAGACUAAACUAUACUACUACACCAUAGUCUCAUUAUCAAUUGGGUUAACCUUAAUAAGCUGAGCAUGACUAACCAUUCAAUUUAACCAAGACUAAACUAUACUACUAAAAACAAACAAAAAUUAUCAAAGUUGAUCAGCAACAAGUCAAUGAAUCACAAAUAUAGAGGUAGAUUUAGGCUAGUACCAAGAAUGCGAGACUAAAUUAAUCAAAGGCAAAACAAAGCUAACCAACACAAAUUUAAAAUCAACUACAUGGUUUAUCAUAAAACGAAUAUUUAUCAACUGAAACAAAGAGAAAAGGUCAAACCAGGGAAAGGAUGAACAAUUUGAGCUAACCUAAAAUACAUAAUUACCCAAUCGAAACAAGAAAAAUCUAGAAAUCUAAUCGAUAAGGAAUCAUCCAAAGCGGAUUAUCAAAGGCUUUAAAUAGAGGCACAUAAUUUUGAAUGAAAAAAAAUUCAUAACAGAAGAUUAUUAUAGAUGAGCAAGUAGAACAAAAAUAUAAUCACACAAACCAAAACAACAAAAAAGAAUGAAUAGAAGACAAAAAGAAUCGGGGAAGUUAGCAUAAGAAAAUAGCACAACCCCAAAACCCAUGACCUUCGCAUCUUAGGGUUUCCGGCCAUCUUUGAUUUCAAAUUUGAGAGGGUCUUUGGCCUUUUGGGAAAGGCUGAGCAAUCAUUUGAGAGGAGGAGGGUACCAAGUGUAAGAUUGGUUGGGUUUGGGAUGGGUUUGGGCUUCAGACCAAUAUUAGAUUUGAUUUUUGACAAAGACCAAUUAUAUUUGAGGGUCCCUGGUUAUGGAUUUGUGGAGAGGGAGAUGAGAGGGUUGCGUGGUGUCAGUUUAAAAGGAUUCCAGGGAAGUUGAAGAUUUGGUCGGAGCUUCGGAUGAAUAUUCGAAGCGAUUAACAAAGGUUUGAAGGAAAUUAGGGCUGGAUCCGUUAUGGGAAUGGGGCGAGGGACCUAGGGUGCUUAUUUUUUGAAUGUUUCGACGGUGGCGCCGCGGCGGAGGCAGCGUGCAAAGAUUUAUAUAUUCGAGGAGUUUGGCUUAUAGUUGAAAGCUGGCUUUUAUGGCAUUGGAAAUAGGAGGGAAUUGUGGUUCAGGGGUGUAUUUUUGGGAGACAUUGGAGCUUUGCUGCUGGUGGACAGGAAUAUAGGUCGGCGGCUGUGAGGCGGCACAUCAGUGGAGACGAAGUUACGAGGAGGAGGCAUUUGGUCUCUAGGGUUUGAUAGAAUUCGGACACUUUUAUGUGAUAUUCACAUCGAACCCAAGCCAUUGGAUCAUGGCUAAUGAACAGUUGAGAUUGCUGGCCCCAAAACAACAUCGUUUUGGGGCGUCUCUAAUGGCAUACCGGGUCAGGGACAGGUUGGGCCAGUUUUUGGUGAUUUGGACGAGUAGGGGUGGGGCCAUCCAGAUUUGGCCCAAUUGUGGCCAUCCUGAACUCAUCUUUUUAAUAUAUUAUUCAAAACUAAUAAGUCACAAUUACCUGCUAUUAUUUAAAAGAAAAAUUAACAAAAAUCAAAUUCUUCUUUGUAAUUUUUGUACUUUGAAAAAAAAAUCUAAUUACUAAUUAAUUCUAACAAAAAUUAUGUAACAAUCAAAUUCUGAAUGCUUAUGCAAUUUUAUUUUGUAUUUAUAUGACUUAUCAUGCAUGCACCAAUGAAAAUACACACAAACAUGCGCAAUUAAAUCCUAAAAAUUGAAUAAUAAAAAGGAGAAAUCCUAACUCUGGGAAUUCUGUAGGAGUAAUUUUAAAGAGGCAAAAAUCACGUGCUCACACUAAACUUCAGUUAUUCUAUUCUCUCACUGAUAGUGAUAACACGUGCUACAGGUCAUGACGAUCGACCACCAGUACCACUAGUUGGGUCCACUAGAAGCUGAGGUCGUGGUCAAGGCCGUGGUAAAGGUAGGGGUAUAGGCGAUACAAUAGCCAAGGCAGCACCUUCAGAUCCACCAACUGCCCUGUGCAUAAUCAGGCUCCAACUGGAGAUGCUCCAGCAGCUUCAGCUCAUGAACUAACUAUGCCUAUUGUUAUUCUGGGUCUCCAAGAGAGCUUAGCUCAGAUCUUGUCUGUGUGCACUAAUAUUGCUUAGGCGGUUGCAAUUUCUACCACAACGACUAAUUCUCAGGCCGGGGGGAGACACUCAGACUCCCACAACUCGUACCACCGAGAAGGUUGCUCAGGGAUUUCAGACACCAGAGGCACCACCAACUCAGUCGGUUGCACCUGCUCCGAAUUAUGUGGUUAUAGUUAUGCCUGUUGACGAGUAGUGUAGAUUGGAGAGUUUGGUUGACUUCAACCUCCGACUUUCAAUGGUAUUGAGGCCGAGGUUGCGUAGGGUUUCUUAGACAAGUGUGAGAGGAUUAUAUAUACACCAGGUAUUCUAGAAAAAAAGUGGGGUCUCAUUUACAACUUUUCAAUUUUUUUGGAGCUGCCUUCACUUCGUGGGAGGCUUAUGAGAGCCGUAGGUUUAUUAGUGCAGCGCCGGUUACUUGGAAUCAACUCAUCAUUCUCUUCCUGGAGAAGUAUGUACCACAUUCGCACAGAGAGGAGCUAAGGAGGUAGUUCGAAUAACUGCAUGAUAGGGAUAUAACCGUGGCACAAUAUAAGAUGAGAUUCUCCGAGUUGGCCCAUCAUGUAUCUGGCUACCUCCCAUGAAUAGGAAGAGAAUUAGGAGGUUCAUUGAUGGCCUUGCUUAUCAGCUACAAAUCUUUCUGACCAGGCAGAGUAUAUGGUGCUUCUUUUGAGGAGGUGGUUGACAUUACUAGAGAGAUAGAGUCAGUUCAGAGCUAGGAGCGAGAUGAGAGGGAGGCCAAGAGGCCUGAGUGAUCUAGUAGUUUCAGUGGUGUUACUUUUAGAGGUCAAAUUUAGCAUGGAUGGGCUGUCUAUUUAAACAUGCUCAGCCAACUCGAUUAGGUCACCAUGGCGGAUCCUCGGGCCAUGGUUCUCACAACUCACAUCAGGGCCACUCAUCUCUCAAUGCCCUUACACCUUAGAGUUUGACUCAUGCACCAUCAAUCCAGGGUUCAUGUAUGCCUGGUUCUUCUAGUUGUUAUCCUGGUGCUCGGGGCUCCCUUCAGUCCCCACCGCCAUUUUCCAGGAGAGGUUGCUUUGAUGUGGAGAUUUGGGUCAUAUCAAGAGGUUGUGUCUCGGUCUUAUGGGAGGUUCAUCCCAAUAGAGGAUUCAGCAUUUGACUUUAGCACCAGUUACUUCCCCACCCACUCAACUAGCUCAGGGUGGAGGUGAGUCAACUAAGAGUCGUCCUGGAGGGGGGGGGGUUGAUCAUGUUCUGGUCAGGCCCGUUUUUAUGCCCUUCCAGCUAAAACAGAUGAUCUUGCUUUAGAUGCUAUUAUUACAGGUAUUGUCUCAGUCUGCCGUGGAGAUCCUAUAUACUAUUUGAUCAUGGAUCCACUUUUUCGUAUGUGUCGUCAUAUUUUGCUCGUUAUUUGGAUACGCCCUAUGAGUCUCUUGUUUUAACUGUUCAUGUGUGCACCCUGGUAGGUGAUACUGUUGUUGUGGACCGCAUAUAUCAGUCUUAUGUGGUGACUAUAUGGGGUUUAGAGACCUUACUGGACCUUCUAUUACUUUGUAUGGUGGACUUUCAUUUGAUGUUGGGCAUGGAUUGGUUAUCUCCAUGUCGUGCUAUUUUGGAUUGUCAUGCUAAGACAAUGACGUUUGCUAUGUCGAGUAUGCUGCAAUUGAGUGGUGAGGUUUGACUGAUUUUGUUCCUUGUAGGGUGAUCUCAUUCUUGAAGGCCCAGCAGAUGGUUGGGAAUGAUUUUCUUUCUUAUUUAGCCUUCUUGAGGAAUGUAAGUGCAGAGACUCCUACCAUUGAUUUAAUCUCGUUAGUGAGGGACUUUUCGAAUGUGUUUCCUGCAGACCAGUCGGGUAUGCCAAUGGACAUGGAUAUUGAAUUUUGUAUUUAUUUGGUGUCCAACACUCAGCCCAUUUCUAUUCAAAUGUAUCGUAUGUCACCGGCGUAGUUGAAUGGGUGGAAAGAGAAGCUUCAAGAACUCCUUGAUAAAGGGAUUUAUUUGUCCUACUAUGUCACCGUAGGGUGCGCCUGUUCUAUUUGUGAAGAAGAAGGAUGGCACAAUGAGGAUGUGCAUUGAUUAUAGGCAGUUGAACAAAGUUACAAUCAAUAACAAGUAUCCUUUGCCUCAUAUUGAUGAUUUAUUUGACUUGCUUCAGGGAGCAAGGGUGUUCUCCAAGAUUGAUCUCAAGUCGGGGUAUAAUAAAUUGAAGAUCAGGGACUCGAAUAUUCUUAAGACAACUUUCAGGACCCAAUAAAGUGAUUAUGAGUUCCGUGUGAUGUCUUUUAGGCUGACCAAUGUGCCAGCAAUGUUCAUGCAUUUGAUGAACAACGUGUUUCGGCCCUAUCUCGACUCGUUCUUUAUUGUAUUCAUUGAUGAUAUUCUGGUAUACUCAUGUAGUCAGGAGGAGCAUGUGGGGCAUUUGAGAGUUGUAUUACUGCAGUUGAGAGAGGAGAAGAUUUAUGCAAAGUUCUCCAAGUGUGAGUUUUGGCUCAGUUCAGUGGCUUUCUUGGGGAACGUGGUGUCCAGCAAUGGUAUUCAGGUUGAUCUGAAGAAGAUAGAGGCGGUUUAGAGUUGGCCCAGACCAUUCUCAACUAUAGAGAUUAACCGCUUUCUUGGUUUGGCGGGUUAUUACCGUCGGUUUUUUCAGGUAUUUUCAUCUAUAGCAUCACCCUUGACCAAAUUGACUCAAAAGGGUUCGCCUUUCAUGUUUGGAUGAGUGUGAGGCGAGCUUUCAGAAGCUCAAAACUACCUUGGACACAACUCCAGUGUUAGUCUUGUCAUCAGCUCCAGGUUCAUAUACAACGUAUUGUGAUGCUUUGAGAGUUGUUAUUGGGUGUGUUUGACGCAGAAGGGUAGAAUGUUUGCUUAUGCUUCUUGUCAGUUGAAGUCCCAUGAGAAGAACUACCCUGUUCAUGAUCUAGAGUUGGCUGCCAUUGUCCACGCAUUGAAGAUUUGGAGGCAUUAUCUCUAUGGUGUGUCUUAUGAGGUGUUUAGUAAUCAUCGUAGCCUUAAGCACUUGUUCAAGAAAAGGAUCUCAACUUGAGGCAGCGGAGAUGGUUGGAGCUGCAAAAGGAAUAUGAUAUCACUAUCUUGUACCAUCUGGGGAAGGCCAACGUAAUAGCCGAUGCCUUGAGUAGGAAGGCAGUGAGUAUGGGCAGUUUGGCGUAUAUAUCUGUUGGGGAGAGACCUCUUGCAGUUGAUGUUUAGGACUUGGCGAAUCACUUGUGAGGUUGUUAUCUCGGAGCCCAGUCGGAUCUUAGCUUAUGUAAUUUCUCCGUCUUCUUUGUGUGAUCACAUUAGAGAGAGCCAAUAUGAUGAUUCUCAUUCCUUAAGGACUGAUUUCAACGUGACAAUGCCAGAGAUGUGACUAUUGGUGAUGUUGGAGCCAAUAUGAUGAUGUAGAUGGACUUCAGGAGUUGAUUCUGAAGGAGGCCCAUAGCUCGUGGUAUUCCAUCCAUCUGGGUGUCGCGAAGAAGUAUCAGGAUUGGAGACAACAUUAUUUGUGGAGAAGAAUGAAGAAAGAUAUUGUGGGAUUUGUAGCUCGGUGCCUCAAUUGUCAGUAUGUGAAAUAUGAACAGUAGAGGCCGGGUGGCUUGCUUCAGCAGAUGGAUAUUCUCGAGUGGAAGUGGGAGCGGAUCACCAUGGAUUUUGUAGUUGGACUCCCAUGGACUUUGAGGAUGUUCAGUGCUAUUUGGGUGAUUGUGGAUUGGCUGACCAAGUCCGUGUACUUCAUUCUUAUACGUACUAACUAUUCUUCAGAGUCGUUAGCAGAUAUUUAUGUUAAGGAGAUUGUUCGCUUGCUUGGUGUCCCCGUUUCUAUCAUUUCAGAUAGAAGUACCUAGUUUACUUUGCAGUUUUGGAGAGCCAUGCAGCAUGAGUUGGGUACUCAGGUUAAGUUGAGCAUAUCUUUUCACCCUUAAACAGACGACAGUCUGAGCGCACUAUUCAGAUAUUGGUGGACAUGUUGCGCGGUUGUGCCAACAAUUUUGGGGGUUUAUGGGAUUAGUUUAUACCACUCAUGGAGUUUGCAUAUAACAAUAGUUAUUAGUCGAGUAUUUAGAUGGCUCCACUUGAGCCUUAUUAUAUGGGAGAUGAUGUAGAUCUCCAGUCGUUAGUUCAAGCCGGGUGAGGCUAGGAUUUUGGGUAUAGACUUGGUGCAGGAUGCUUUAGACAAGGUGAAGG
rnacentral:lncRNA from 1 species